GCUGGCUGUGUGCCUAUACUGCAUGUCGAACGAAGCACUUGUGCUUAGUGGCAAAUGGGUGAGUAACACGUACUUAAUCUACCCCCAAGUUUGGGAUAACAGUUGGAAACAAUUGCUAAUACCAAAUACAUAUAAGUUUUGCAUAAUUCUUAUAUAAAAGGAGCGUUUGUUUCGCUAGGGGAUGAGAGUACGCUACAUUAGUUAGUUGGUAGGGUAAGAGCCUACCAAGACUAUGAUGUAUAGCGGGGCUGAGAAGCUGAACCGCCACACUGGGACUGAGAUACGGCCCAGACUCCUACGGGAGGCAGCAGUAGGGAAUAUUCCACAAUGAGCGAAAGCUUGAUGGAGCAACACAGCGUGCAGGAAGACGACCUUAGGGUUGUAAACUGCUGUUAUGAGCGAAGAAAAAUAAAAUUAGGAAAUGAAUUUUACAUGACGGUACCUCAUCAGAAAGCACCGGCAAACUAUGUGCCAGCAGCCGCGGUAAUACAUAGGGUGCAAGCGUUAUCCGGAAUUAUUGGGCGUAAAGUGUCUGUAGGUGGUAUGUUAAGUCUAGUGUUAAAGACUAGGGCCCAACCCUAGCACGCUCUAGAUACUGACAUGCUAGAGUCAUAGAGAGGUUAGCGGAACUCCUAGUGAAGCGGUGACAUGUGUAGAUAUUAGGAAGAACACAAUAGCGAAGGCAGCUAACUGGAUAUGUACUGACACUCAGAG
rnacentral:rRNA from 1 species